rnacentral:tRNA from 1 species
GCCGCCAUCGUCUAGCCCGGUCUAGGACGUCGCCCUCUCACGGCGAAAACCCGGGUUCAAAUCCCGGUGGCGGUA